rnacentral:rRNA from 1 species
GCCCCGGUAAACGGCGGCCGUAACUAUAACGGUCCUAAGGUAGCGAAAUUCCUUGUCGGGUAAGUUCCGACCUGCACGAAUGGCGUAAUGAUGGCCAGGCUGUCUCCACCCGAGACUCAGUGAAAUUGAACUCGCUGUGAAGAUGCAGUGUACCCGCGGCAAGACGGAAAGACCCCGUGAACCUUUACUAUAGCUUGACACUGAACAUUGAGCCUUGAUGUGUAGGAUAGGUGGGAGGCUUUGAAGUGUGGACGCCAGUCUGCAUGGAGCCGACCUUGAAAUACCACCCUUUAAUGUUUGAUGUUCUAACGUUGGCCCGUAAUCCGGGUUGCGGACAGUGUCUGGUGGGUAGUUUGACUGGGGCGGUCUCCUCCUAAAGAGUAACGGAGGAGCACGAAGGUUGGCUAAUCCUGGUCGGACAUCAGGAGGUUAGUGCAAUGGCAUAAGCCAGCUUGACUGCGAGCGUGACGGCGCGAGCAGGUGCGAAAGCAGGUCAUAGUGAUCCGGUGGUUCUGAAUGGAAGGGCCAUCGCUCAACGGAUAAAAGGUACUCCGGGGAUAACAGGCUGAUACCGCCCAAGAGUUCAUAUCGACGGCGGUGUUUGGCACCUCGAUGUCGGCUCAUCACAUCCUGGGGCUGAAGUAGGUCCCAAGGGUAUGGCUGUUCGCCAUUUAAAGUGGUACGCGAGCUGGGUUUAGAACGUCGUGAGACAGUUCGGUCCCUAUCUGCCGUGGGCGCUGGAGAACUGAGGGGGGCUGCUCCUAGUACGAGAGGACCGGAGUGGACGCAUCACUGGUGUUCGGGUUGUCAUGCCAAUGGCACUGCCCGGUAGCUAAAUGCGGAAGAGAUAAGUGCUGAAAGCAUCUAAGCACGAAACUUGCCCCGAGAUGAGUUCUCCCUGACUCCUUGAGGGUCCUGAAGGAACGUUGAAGAC